CUACGGGUGGCUCCAGUCGAGAAUCUUCCGCAAUGGACGAAAGUCUGACGGAGCGACGCCGCGUGCGGGAUGAAGGCCUUCGGGUUGUAAACCGCUGUCAGUGGGGAGGAAAUGCAUCAGGGUUCUCCCUGGUGUUUGACCGAUCCGCAGAGGAAGCGCAGGCUAAGUUCGUGCCAGCAGCCGCGGUAACACGAACUGCGCGAACGUUAUUCGGAAUCACUGGGCUUAAAGAGUUCGUAGGCGGCCUUUCAAGUCGGGUGUGAAAUCCCUCGGCUCAACCGAGGAAUUGCGCCUGAUACUGUUGGGCUUGAGGGGGAUAGGGGUGAGCGGAACUGAUGGUGGAGCGGUGAAAUGCGUUGAUAUCAUCAGGAACACCGGUGGCGAAGGCGGCUCACUGGAUCUCUUCUGACGCUGAGGAACGAAAGCUAGGGGAGCGAACAGGAUUAGAUACCCUCGUAGUC
rnacentral:rRNA from 1 species